rnacentral:rRNA from 1 species
UACGUAGGGUGCAAGCGUUAAUCGGAAUUACUGGGCGUAAAGCGUGCGCAGGCGGUGAUGUAAGACAGAUGUGAAAUCCCCGGGCUCAACCUGGGAACUGCAUUUGUGACUGCAUCGCUGGAGUGCGGCAGAGGGGGAUGGAAUUCCGCGUGUAGCAGUGAAAUGCGUAGAUAUGCGGAGGAACACCGAUGGCGAAGGCAAUCCCCUGGGCCUGCACUGACGCUCAUGCACGAAAGCAUGGGGAGCGAACGGG